AUUGAACGCUGGCGGCAUGCUUUACACAUGCAAGUCGAGCGGCAGCGCGGGGGCAACCCUGGCGGCGAGCGGCGAACGGGUGAGUAAUGCAUCGGAACGUACCCUGGAGUGGGGGAUAACGCCGCGAAAGCGGCGCUAAUACCGCAUAUGCUCUGAGGAGGAAAGUGGGGGACCGCAAGGCCUCACGCUCUGGGAGCGGCCGAUGUCCGAUUAGCUAGUUGGUGGGGUAAAGGCUUACCAAGGCGACGAUCGGUAGCUGGUCUGAGAGGAUGAUCAGCCACACUGGGACUGAGACACGGCCCAGACUCCUACGGGAGGCAGCAGUGGGGAAUUUUGGACAAUGGGGCAACCCUGAUCCAGCCAUGCCGCGUGAGUGAAGAAGGCC
rnacentral:rRNA from 1 species